AUGGAAGAAAAGAAAGGAAGAGAAGAGAAGGAGACGAUGGAGGAGGAGAAAAGCGAAGAACAAUGUAAAUAAGAAAAUGGAGAAAAGAACGACACACGAAGGAGGAGAAAGAGAAGAUAAUACUAGCUACGAUGUUACAAAUGACAUGCAACAUUAUUAUGGACCGUCCAUAUAAUAGAUAGUAGAAUAUUAUCCAUUAAUAACUGAUAAGAUAGUAAAAGCCUGGCGGACCAGUGAAAACCUCCACCAGCAGCUUAAAGGCCAGUUCUCAGGCUGCAGAAAUGAAACGGGAACUUUCCAAAGCCUGACCUUGGGAAUCCUGGACCAGAAGAUAAAUAACUUUUUGCUGAAUGGAGAAAGUUUCUCUGUACGAUCAAUAAUUUUAUCAGGGCGAGCUAGGCCAAAAGGCAAAAAGGGAGGGCCUGCCACUUUCCUUUGAACCUCCCUUUGCUUCUCUUCAAAAGUAUUUUUUAAAAAUGGCAUUUUUGGACCUCACUGGGAUGCAAAACAAAUAUUUUAUUGCACGUCUUCCCUCCUCUACACUAAAUUUUAAUUGACGGGACUGUUAUUCCCCUGUUGGUCAAACACAUUUGGUUGGGUUGGAGCAAUAUUCACAGCAAAUAAAGGAGAGGGGAAAUUAAAAGCUUAUUUAGCUACCUGGAUUUUAUCAGCCACCCAAUCUGGACAGCAAAGGUAAAUUAGAAAAAUAUAUAUAUAUAAAAACAGAUUUUAAAAAAACCAUCCCAUCAGCUUAAAAUAGUUCUGUCGAUCGCAGAAUCAAACCAAACAAAAUAAACCCCAGGCACCAAGAAGGGGGCGGGAGAUUAAAAAAAAUGAAAAGGGAUGGACGAUGAAUGUGAGCACGGAAUGGAGUCGGUUCAAAAGGGCCCUGUCCACUGGUCGGCUCAAAGCCAAAAAGCGUCCCCUGAUCUCAUUUUUUUUCCGACCACGGCUUUACAUGCCCAGAAGGCAGCGAAGGAUUUAAUAUAGUUAAUUAUAAUUAACGUUGGCCUGUUCAUAACCUUCCGUCUUCGUUAAGGUCUGGUGUUUCUACUUUGAAACAAAUAUUGACAAAUUGCUGGGUUUUUUUUUUUUUCUUUUGGAGUGUGGCUCCAUAGCAACGGGCGAAAGAGCCGGAUUCGAGAGGGCAGCUGGUGUGGGGAGACGCUCGCGGUCACGUUAAGUGGACAUCAGCGCAAACAAUUCUUAGAAUCGCCAGGAAACAAACAUCGCCCUGCAAAGUAGGCCAGCUUUUGAAGGCUCCGUGAUCUCCCUGGCCGUCGCCUCCCCUUCCUCACCAAUGACUGACAUGCGUUUGCGCACGUGAUUGAAGUCCAAAAUAGCCAGAAGUUGCAUUUCAAACGUCAGCUUCAAUCUCCCUUCCCCACCUGGGCACUUCUCUUCAGACAUGACGGUGUGGCAGAGCGACAGGAGACGGAAAAACUCGUGGACGUGAAGAUCACCCAGCUUGACCGUUUCCAAAAGCCCGGUGUCCCAGAAGAUCCAACUGCCGGCGUUGUUACCUUUCCGAGCUCCGCCUUGUAUCCAAGAUCAUCCAGAGCGUCUCCUGCGGAAAAGACCCAGACUCAGAGUGGGGAAGAGGAGCAAGAAAAGCAUCAGUUCUUCCAAAUACAGGAUGACCACCCUGCAGAGCAGGCCACGGGCUUGACUGCCCCCUGGUGGAACGUUCCCAGAAAAUUCUCUGCCUCAGUUUGUCGACUGGAAAAACUAAAACGGUGUCAGGUAUCUACUCAAUGCCCCCCAGGGCUAGGAAAAAGGCAGACUCUGCGUCCUAAAAAGAGAGAACGAAGAGCACUGGGUUCGAAACCACGGGCGCGGAGCGGGC